ensembl:lncRNA
AUGACCAAACUCCAAACAUGCACAGCUUUUACGGGCACCAAAUUUCUUGUGGAAUUGUUUUCUUCUCCAGGAGGCAACGAGGUUGAUGUCCCCCAAGAUGAAGGACUGCUCUGCAGUCCCAGCUCAAGUCCAACACUGAAGCAGAGGUCUGCAGUUAGAAGAGACUUGUCCAAUGAGUGUCCUAGUACUGCAGGGGAGAGGUGCUCAGGCUGUCCAAAGAAAAACAAAAAGACACAGGGAAAUGAAGUUAUUGAGGAUAAAGUUUGGAGUGAAGAUCAGCAAACAGUAAAUAUUGAACAAAAUAAGUGCAUUUUGGCAAAGGAACUGUCAAAAUUUCCUUUUACAGUUCUUCUAAAGAAAUAAAUUGAUGUUUUUGCAUCCUUAUCUGCUUCCCUGUCAUCUUCGUGUCGCAAAAGUUAUACUUCUCAAAAGCCUGCCAAAAUAUUCUAUCUCCCAAAUUUCUAUCAUGAUUUCUCUGCCCUUGGAGCUGCCAAGUAAUGCUGCUCUCAGUAUAACAUAAAUCUUCAAUGUGUAGGUACUUGAAUUAACACAGUUCACCAGGCUUUCACUGCAAAUAUUCAGACUGCAUGAAAGUCUGCAAAACCUUUGGUAACAGAACAGUAAAGGUGAGAGUGCUGACAGAAAUGUCCACAAAGGUCUGAACACAUGGGACCAUACAUGAGUUAAAUAGUGACCAUCUUUCCUAGGAAAAUAGUGGUCAAUCUCAGGAUUCAUAAUACCCCAGCAUUGUAGACUAGACUUGGAGGCACCAGUAGCAGACAUAUAUUUCAGAAAUAUUUAAGUUUGAACCCAAAGCCUCGUCUCCAACAGAAGGUUAUUUCAAAAAUGACACCCUGACACCCAGUGACACCCCUGUCUUGGUUCCUGCAUUGAAGAGCAGCUUUCUGACAGCUGUGGGGACUUACAAGUGCUGCCCCAUUCCCAGCAGUAUAUUUAGCAUUUCCUAAACAUGUUAUAGUCACAAUCAAAGUUGGAAGGAACCCUUAAAGACCUUCUAGUACAACUCCCCUGCAAUGAACAGGGACACCUAGAGCAAGAUCAGGUUUCUCAGAGCCCCAUCCACUCUGGGUUUGAGUGUCUCCAGGGAUGGGGAUUCCACCAUCUCUGGGCAAUCUGUGCCAGUGCCUCACCACAGUUAUUGUAAAAUACUUCUUCCUACUAUCCAGUCCAAAUCUCCCCUCUUUUAGUUUGAAACCAUUUCCCCUUGUCCUAUCACAACAGACUCUGCUAAAGAGUCUGUCCCCUUCUUUUUUACAACUCCCUCUGUAGAUACUAAGUCCUUCAAGAGCUCAAAGUCUACUUGGAUGAGGUGCACAUCUGGGCAUCAAAGGUUCUCAUAGGCAUUUCAACAAGUCACCUGUGUGCCUAGUUCCCUACUUCGACACUCAGACACUCCUGAGUCUCUAGUUCUCAGUCUCAGGAUCCUGGAAAACAGAGACACUAAAGUCACUUAGACUGGAAGAUACUACCCUAAAGAUUUCAUCCUUUGUUCUACCACUUGUAUACAACAGACAAACAAACACAUUGCAAAAACUUCCUUUCUCCUUUUAAAAGCAAUGAAAUAAAUCAUGAGAGCACUUUAUAUCCCUUCA